rnacentral:rRNA from 1 species
GACGAACGCUGGCGGCGUGCUUAACACAUGCAAGUCGAUCGAUGAAGCAGGAGCUUGCUCUGGUGAAUUAGUGGCGAAUUUUGGAGUAACACUGUGGUAACCUGCCCUUGACUCUGGGAUAACUGCGGGAAACUGUUGCUAAUACCGGAUACGACCCUCGGAGGCAUCUCCUGGGGGUGGAAAGAAUUUCGGUCAAGGAUGGACUCGCGGCCUAUCAGCUAGUUGGUGAGGUAAAGGCUCACCAAGGCGACGACGGGUAGCCGGCCUGAGAGGGUGACCGAAACCACUGGGACUGAGACACGGCCCAGCAUCACACAGGAGGCAGCAGUGGGGAAUAUUGAAACAUGGGCGCAAGCCUGAUGCAGCAACGCCGCGUGAGGAAUGACGACCUGAGGGUUGUAAACCUCUUUUCGAAGGGAAGAAGCGAAAGUGACGGUACCUGCAGAAAAAACACCGGCUAACUACGUGCCAGCAGCCGCCGCCG